rnacentral:rRNA from 1 species
GAUGAACGUUGGCGGUGCGCUUUAUGCAUGCAAGUCGUACGGAACUGUAGUUUUCGGAUUACGGUUCAGUGGCGGACGGCUGAGUAACACGUAGGUAACUUACCCGUGAGCGGGGGAUAACUUACCGAAAGGUAGGCUAAUACCGCAUGGUAUGGACCUGUCAAAGCAGGUUUAUUAAAGUCGCAAGACACUCGCGGAUAGGCCUGCGGCCGAUUAGCUAGUUGGCGGGGUAAUAGCCCACCAAGGCAGUGAUCGGUAGCUGGUCUGAGAGGAUGUCCAGCCAGAUGGGGACUGAGACACGGCCCCAACUCCUACGGGAGGCAG